CUACGGGCGGCUGCAGUGGGGAAUAUUGCACAAUGGGCGCAAGCCUGAUGCAGCCAUGCCGCGUGUAUGAAGAAGGCCUUCGGGUUGUAAAGUACUUUCAGCGGGGAGGAAGGGAGUAAAGUUAAUACCUUUGCUCAUUGACGUUACCCGCAGAAGAAGCACCGGCUAACUCCGUGCCAGCAGCCGCGGUAAUACGGAGGGUGCAAGCGUUAAUCGGAAUUACUGGGCGUAAAGGCGCACGCAGGCGGUUUGUUAAGUCAGAUGUGAAAUCCCCGGGCUCAACCUGGGAACUGCAUCUGAUACUGGCAAGCUUGAGUCUCGUAGAGGGGGGUAGAAUUCCAGGUGUAGCGGUGAUAUGCGUAGAGAUCUGGAGGAAUACCGGUGGCGAAGGCGGCCCCCUGGACGAAGACUGACGCUCAGGUGCGAAAGCGUGGGGAGCAAACAGGAUUAGAUACCCGGGUAGUC
rnacentral:rRNA from 1 species